rnacentral:rRNA from 1 species
AAGGCAUGCCUGCCCAGUGAACAUUAAACGGCCGCGGUACCCUAACCGUGCAAAGGUAGCAUAAUCAUUUGUCUAUUAACUGUAGACCUGUAUGAAAGACAAAAUGAGGGUUUAACUGUCUCUUAUAGUAAAUCUAUUAAACUGAUCUCCUAGUAAAAAAGCUAGUAUACCCACAUAAGACCAGAAGACCCUGUGAAGCUUUAACUAAACUAUUAAAUCAAAUAAUAACUACUUUAGGUUGGGGCGACCUUGGAAAAAAAAAGAACUUCCAUAUAUUAAACUUACCCAGGCCCACAAGCCAAUUUACGACCCAGUAACACUGAUAAUUGAACCAAGUUACUCCAGGGAUAACAGCGCCAUCUUCUUCAAGAGCCCAUAUCAAAAAGAAGGUUUACGACCUCGAUGUUGGAUCAGGACACCCCAAUGGUGCAACCGCUAUUAAAGGUUCGUUUGUUCAACGAUUAAUGUCCUACGUGAUCUGAGUCAAAACCGGGAGAG